UAAACCUCUUUCACCUAUGACGAAGCGCAAGUGACGGUAGUAGGAGAAGAAGCACCGGCCAACUACGUGCCAGCAGCCGCGGUAAUACGUAGGGUGCGAGCGUUGUCCGGAAUUAUUGGGCGUAAAGGGCUCGUAGGCGGUUUGUCGCGUCGGGAGUGAAAACUCGGGGCUUAACUCCGAGCCUGCUUCUGAUACGGGCAGACUAGAGGUAUGCAGGGGAGAACGGAAUUCCUGGUGUAGCGGUGAAAUGCGCAGAUAUCAGGAGGAACACCGGUGGCGAAGGCGGUUCUCUGGGCAUUACCUGACGCUGAGGAGCGAAAGUGUGGGGAGCGAACAGGAUUAGAUACCCUGGUAGUCCACACCGUAAACGUUGGGCGCUAGGUGUGGGACUCAUUCCACGAGUUCCGUGCCGCAGCUAACGCAUUAAGCGCCCCGCCUGGGGAGUACGGCCGCAAGGCUAAAACUCAAAGGAAUUGACGGGGGCCCGCACAAGCGGCGGAGCAUGCGGAUUAAUUCGAUGCAACGCGAAGAACCUUACCUGGGUUUGACAUAUAGAGAAAUCCUCCAGAGAUGGGGGGUCCGUAAGGGCUCUAUACAGGUGGUGCAUGGCUGUCGUCAGC
rnacentral:rRNA from 1 species